rnacentral:misc_RNA from 1 species
AUUGUAAACAUUUAUGCUAUUUAGCAGAGAUCAACUAUCUCUGUACAGCUGUAUUAAUUAGAGAUUGACGCCAAGUGCCAAUGCCACUUACAAUGCAGAUGCAAAACUUUACUGUGCAAUUUGUGGAUGCUAGGCAAGGGAUGUCCACUAGAUUGAUGUCUCAUUCUGAACACAAAGAGAAUUUCUUGGAAAAUUGAUACCUAUUGACUUGAAGGAUCCA